rnacentral:lncRNA from 1 species
CUGGAUGCAUCCAUUCCUUUCAGUCCUUCAGCUUUCCUUACCCUGAUGAUUGGCUGAUGUGUCCCUUUACAGGGCUGAUGCUCUUCUUUCACCUUCCCAGAGUGUUGUGUCUGAAUUUUGAGAAGAAUAGUACUCUACAGGAUAGAGAAUUGUGACGUACUGGUAGAAAGCCCUGAGGGGAGGAAAAAGAAAUGGACAUUUACUCAAGUAAUAUGUAAGUCU